GGAAGUAAAGGUCGUAACAAGGUCUCCGUAGGUGAACCUGCGGAGGGAUCAUUACAGAGACUCUGCCCUUUGGGUAGACCUCCCACCCUGUGUCGUUAUACCUUCGUUGCUUUGGCGGGCCGUGGGGCCCCGGCCCCGCCCCUGGCUCCGGCUAGGGCGCGCCCGCCAGAGGACCUCAAAACCUGAAUGUUAGUGUCGUCUGAGUACUAUAUAAUAGUUAAAACUUUCAACAACGGAUCUCUUGGUUCUG
rnacentral:misc_RNA from 1 species